UAAGACGGAGGGUGCUAGCGUUGUUCGGAAUUACUGGGCGUAAAGGGCGCGUAGGCGGCCGCCCGCGUCGGAUGUGAAAGCCCGGGGCUCAACCCCGGAACGGCAUCCGAGACGGGGCGGCUGGAGACCGGGAGAGGAGGGUGGAAUAGCCAGUGUAGAGGUGAAAUUCGUAGAUAUUGGCUGGAACACCGGUGGCGAAAGCGGCUCUCUGGCCCGGUUCUGACGCUGAGGCGCGAAAGCGUGGGGAGCAAACAGGAUUAGAUACCCUGGUAGUCCACGCCCUAAACGAUGUGCGCUGGGCGUUGGGGGGCUUGCCCCUCGGUGCCGGAGCUAACGCGGUAAGCGCACCGCCUGGGGAGUACGGCCGCAAGGUUA
rnacentral:rRNA from 1 species